rnacentral:lncRNA from 1 species
GGAGAAUUUCACCAUCAGGGCUGCCAUUAAGGGAGGUAAAGUGGGUUUGUUGUUAUAGAUUCCUUCCUGUAGUAGUGUUCUGACUGAUAUGAAAGGAGAAGAGACAACACAAUUCAACAAGAUGAUUGUCCCCUGGCUCCACCCAAAGAAAUAAUCAACAUGAAACAUUCUGUGGGAAAUAGAGAUAUGGAGAGAGGAGAGUGUAGAGAGAGAGAGAGAGAUAUGGAGAGAGGAGUGUAGAGAGAGAGAGAGAGAGAUAUGGAGAGAGGAGUGUAGAGAGAGAGAGAGAGAUAUGGAGAGAGGAGUGUAGAGAGAGAGAGAGAUAUGGAGAGAGGAGUGUAGAGAGAGAGAGAGAUAUGGAGAGAGGAGUGUAGAGAGAGAGAGAGAUAUGGAGAGAGGAGUGUAGAGAGAGAGAGAUAUGGAGAGAGGAGUGUAGAGAGAGAGAGAGAUAUGGAGAGAGGAGUGUAGAGAGAGAGAGAGAGAUAUGGAGAGAGAAGUGUAGAGAGAGAGAGAGAGAUGAGAGAGAGAGAGAGAGAGAGAGAGAGGAGUGUAGAGAGAGAGAGAGAGAGAGAUAUGGAGAGAGGAGUGUAGAGAGAGAGAGAGAGAGAGAUAUGGAGAGAGGAGUGUAGAGAGAGAGAGAGAUAUGGAGAGAGGAGUGUAGAGAGAGAGAGAGAGAGAGAUAUGGAGAGAGAGAGAGAGAUAUGGAGAGAGGAGUGUAGAGAGAGAGAGAUGUGGAGAGAGGAGUAGAGAGAGGGAGAUGUGGAGAGAGGAGUAGAGAGAGGAGAGAUGUGGAGAGAGGAGAGAUAGAGCGAGAGAUGUGGAGAGAGAUAUGAGAGAGCGAGAGAUGUGGAGAGAGAUAUGAGAGAGCGAGAGAUGUGGAGAGAGAUAUGAGAGAGCGAGAGAUGUGGAGAGAGAUAUGAGAGAGCGAGAGAUGUGGAGAGAGGAGUAGAGAGAGCGAGAGAUAUAUGGAGAGAGGAGUAGAGAGAGCGAGAGAGAUAUGGAGAGAGGAGUAGAGAGAGCGAGAGAGAUAUGGAGAGAGGAGUAGAGAGAGAGAGAGAUAUGGAGAGAGGAGUAGAGAGAGAGAGAUAUGGAGAGAGGAGUAGAGAGAGAGAGAUAUGGAGAGAGGAGUAGAGAGAGAGAGAUAUGGAGAGAGGAGUA